GUGUGGGUGUUGCGCUCAUUGCAGUCAGAAAACACAUGUUGGCCCUAGUGGGUGAUGUUGCUUUCUCUCCCCAAGUCGUACGAGAAAAUAACGGAAAACUGACCCAAGAUCAGUACUGUACAUAGGCAACUUCAAUCCAAUGUAAUGCGGAGCACGUUCCAGCUCGUCAACACAAUCGGCUGCAGGGGAGAUUACUUUGUGUUCAGUUUAUAUAAUAAUAUCAAAUUAAAUUAAUCUAAGAAACGCUUUUGCAGGCAGUUUGAAUGUAUAUUCUUAUUCUGUGCCGAAUCGGUGUAAUUUGACCUACAACACACAUGCGCAUCAUGACUUCAACAAAGAAGGCAACUUGGAACGUACACCCGAUCCUCCCAUGCGACCAUUCUCUUUCCCGGUACAUAGGUUCCACAAGGUACCCCCUGCUACUCCUCAGCAAGAGGAAGAAGGAAGGAUAACAUUUUCUCGUCAACUGCACUGUGUCCUCACAGUGGUAUGAUGAAUCAGACCUCAAUGGCAGCAAUCCAAAGGUUGUAUGAGGCAAUUGUGAAAGUGGCAAUCAACACCCAUGCCCCCACACUACAACCCUCCAACUCUCCUCCUGUUGCUGCCCAAAUAGCUGUCUGAUACAGUUGCCCCCCAGGAGACCAGCUACACCCUCAUCCUCACGCAGGUUGAAGCCCCGCUAUCCCCCACCACCCAGGAGACCAGCUACACCCCCAUCCUCAACCAGGCUGAACCCCCAAUAUCCCCCAUCCUCAACCAGGCUGAACCCCCAAUAUCCCCCAUCCUCAACCAGGUUGAACCCCCAAUAUCCCCCACCACCCAGGAGACCAGCUCCACCCCCAUCCUCAACCAGGCUGAACCCCCCGAUAUCCCCUACCACCCAGGAGACCAGCUCCACCCCCAUCCUCAACUAGGCUGAACCCCCGAUAUCCCCCACCACCCAGGAGACCAGCUCCACCCCCAUCCUCAACCAGGCACAACCCACAAUAAUCCCUACCACCCAGCAGACCAGCUUCACCCGGAUCCCCAACCAGGUUAAACCCCCACCGCCCAGGAGACCAGCUACACCCAAACCAAAGAAGACGGGGAGAAAGUCCUGUCACCCUCAAAAAACCCUCCAACUUGCUGAGCAUGACACCGUCAACCCCAUCCAAUCCCAGCCUACCCCGACCAAGGAAGAGAAAUGACUACAUGCAAAAAGUGUCCAGUGCAUCCAGGGCAACCGAUUUUCAAGAUUCUUGCCAAUAGAACUUCAAAGGAGGGUCAGGAGCAGAAAGUGAGGUGGAAGCCAUGCUCUGGAUGUGGCAAGAAAUGGGACGAUGACUGGAUCAAGGCCGAGGAACGCAUUUCUCCAGUUUAACCUACUUUAUGCACAAAUGUAUUCCUCACUCUCCCUUCACAUGUAUCACUGUCAAUCAUAAAUGGUUGGCCAAAUUCACCAUGGUUUACAAUUGAAACAUUCAUGGAGCAUCAGCAUGCCAACCAUUUGAUCUCAAUCAGUUUCAUGAGGAUAUGCAUUUAGAUAUUCUUCAUAUAAAGUGAGAUACAAAAGUAUUGCAACAGUGACACUUUUUUGUUGUUUUGGAUCUGUACUCCAGAACUUUGUAUUUGAAAUUAUACAAUGACUAUGAGGUUAAAAUGCAGAUUAUCAGCUUUAAUUUGAGUGUAUUUUCAUCCAUAUCUAGAAAAAGCAGUACGUUUUGUACAUAGCUCCGCCAGGGGACCAAAAGUAUUGUGAUAAAUUCACUUAUGUGUAUUAAAGUAGUCAGAAGUUUGAG